CAAAUUGUAGCUUAAUCAAAGCCUUUCGCUUACACCGAAAAUAUGUCUGUUAAACCCGGGCCACUUUGA
rnacentral:tRNA from 1 species